GGCUGGUGCGAUGGUAGUGGGUUAUCAGAACUUAUUAACAUUAGUGUCACUAAAGUUGGUAUACAAUCCCCCACUGCUAAAUUUGACUGGCUUAAA
ensembl:misc_RNA Y_RNA Y RNA